GGGGGUGUAACUCAGUGGUAGAGUGCUCGCUUCGCAUGCGAGAAGUCCAGGGUUCAAAUCCCUGCUCCUCCA